rnacentral:rRNA from 1 species
AUUAAACGCCAGCCGUAACCCUUACACAUCCAACUCGAACAGGAACCAGGAUGUUGCUUCGCUGACGAGUGGCGGACGGGUGAGUAAUGUCUGGGAAUCUGCCUGAUAGAGGGGGAUAACUACUGGAAAGGGUAGCUAAUACCGCAUACGUCCUCAAGGCCAAAGCAGGGGACCUUCGGGCCUUUCGCCAUCAGAUGAGCCCAGAUGGGAUUAGCUAGUAGGUGGGGUAACGGCUCACCAAGGCGACGAUCCGUAGCUGGUCUGAGAGGAUGACCAGCCACACUGGAACUGAGACACGGUCCAGACUCCUACGGGAGGCAGCAGUGGGGAAUAUUGCACAAUGGGCGCAAGCCUGAUGCAGCCAUGCCGCGUGUAUGAAGAAGGCUCUUCG